GUAAGCUGGCCCUACCAGACCACUGGUUUCUCUGUUGUCUGAUCCAGAACCAUGUACAAUCCUGACACCAACAAUGCUUUGGACCAGAAUGAUGGAUCCGACUUCCACUCCACACAGUGAUUUCAAUAUUAGACCACUAUAAGCAACAGAGGAAGCAUGUCCAGUGUCUUGCUGACACAUUGUGGAAGCGCUGGGGGCAAGAAUAUCUGGCCACCCUCCAAACUUGCAGAAAAUAAACUAAAGAGAGAUACAGUGUCCAAGUGGAAGAUAUUGUGUUGAGCAAUCCUACAUCAAGUAAUAAUAGAAAAACAUUCCACGUACAGCAAGUGUCCUCAGUUAACAGACACUUACAGUGUUGUUAAAAGAAUAGCUUAAACAUGAUAAACAUGACCCUGUCCCUGGGGUUGUACAUAGGGAUAGACCUUUUUUUAUCCCUGUUAUCCAAGUAUGGCCCAAGAUAGUCAGCGUGGGGACUCAGACAGAAAUGUUUGAGAACGUUCAUUAACUCUACUGCCGAGUCCUGCAUGCAGUGAUGUUGAAUCAUCCUCUUUUUCAUGCACUGACCUGGUGAUGUGUCAUGGAACCCAGGGGAUAAGGAAAUGCUGAGCAAGUCAUCUGAUGAGGACCCUUCAAAUGAGCCACAGCAGAAAUCUCACCCUGACCUCAGGUAAGAGGACCUUUUUUAUUUAUACAUCAUGUGUAUCACAAAUAUGUGUCAUAGUCAGAAAUAGUUGGGUUUUUUCUUUUCUUUUUUUUUAGUGCUGUAUUGAUAUGUUUAUAUUAUUGAUAUACAUCUCUCAGGUUUAUGCCACAUGUGGUGCUCGUAACCACGUGUGUGUUAUUGAUGUUUCACGGAACAUGCAUGCCUACAACUGCUAAUUCACGAGUCAAUUUUAAUAUCAUUGAAUGUGAUCUAAGGCUCUACGGGAAGGAGUACCAUCUUGUCCACCACUGCAUCUGCCCCCCCACAUCCUGCCAGAAGAUCACCAAGAUUUAAAUGUGUUUGGCAGAGCUAGUACUUUGCUUCGCUAGGCUGUUUAGUUAGCAGCACCCUGGCUGGUUAGCCAGUCCAUGUGCACAAGUUCACUUGCCUACAUGGAAGCACUGUAUUUCAUUGUUUCGUGGUUUGUUUUUUUUCCGACAAUGUAGUUGCUAUCGAGUCCUUGUCAAUAUAAAGCUUUAAGUCAAAUAAUGCCACUAUAUUUGAUUGCAUUUUAAUGUACCUUCUAUUUUCUCAACCUGCUGAUACCUAUUUCUAUUACAGAUAGAGGUUGUCUUGCCAUUCCCAAAAAUCCCCAGGAGAAUGUGCUGAAAAAAUUUCUGUGCUGCAUACUUAUUGUACAAUUGGCAAGAGUCAUAAUGAUGGAGAGUGUGGGCACUAUAAUGGGACACAGAGGCUAACCUGAAGCGGACUGGAAGUUGACCCUUGAGCAGAUUGUUAAAGACUUUGAAGUGCACAAGGCACAAGAAUGAUUUACAGACAGGUUCAGGUCCCCGAGCUAAUCUGCUGUCUGCAUGUCAAAAAGACAAUCUCUUAUCAGACACAAGGUAAUAUAACUCAUUUACUCAUAGACACAGGAACUUUCUACAGGCCAUAACAUAAUAGGGUGUUAUAAGGUCAUGUG